rfam:Myotis lucifugus cont2.17052, whole genome shotgun sequence.
GGAUGUGAGGGCGAUCUGGCUGCGACAUCUGUCACCCCAUUGAUCGCCAGGGUUGAUUCGGCUGAUCUGGCUGGCUAGGCGGGUGUCCCCCUCCUCCCUCACCGAUCCAUGUGCGUCCCUCCCGAAGCUGCGCGCUCGGUCGAAGAGGACGACCUUCCCCCCCGAGGAGAGGACCAGUCUUCGGUCAAAGGUAUACGAGUAGCUGUGCUCCCCUGCUAGAACCUCCAAACAAGCUCUCAAAGAACAAAAACCAACAAUGAAAUGCAAUCUACCACAGGAUCAUAUAAAUAUUGGACAUAUUUUU